rnacentral:rRNA from 1 species
UACGGGGGGGGCAAGCGUUGUUCGGAAUUACUGGGCGUAAAGGGCUCGUAGGCGGCCAACUAAGUCAGACGUGAAAUCCCUCGGCUUAACCGGGGAACUGCGUCUGAUACUGGAUGGCUUGAGAUUGGGAGAGGGAUGCGGAAUUCCAGGUGUAGCGGUGAAAUGCGUAGAUAUCUGGAGGAACACCGAUAGCGAAGGCAGCUUACUAAGGAGUAACUGACGCUGAGGCACGAAAGUGUGGGGAUCAAACAGG